rnacentral:sRNA from 1 species
AUAUUGUACGUUGAGUGCAGGUGAGAAGCUGCGUUCAGGUUUGAGCCGAGCGAAGCGAGACAGCGUUGCGCUUGCCGCAACGACCCGAAGGGCGAGGGCAAAGCCCGAGUCAUCCUGCACGACCCACCA